CCUACGGGGCGCAGCAGUAGGGAAUUUUCGUCAAUGGGCGCAAGCCUGAACGAGCAAUGCCGCGUGAACGAGGAUGGUCUUCGGAUCGUAAAGUUCUGUUGAAAGGGAAAAAGAGCGGAGAGAGGAAAUGAACUCCGAUUGAUAUUACCCUUCGAGGAAGUCACGGCUAACUACGUGCCAGCAGCCGCGGUAAUACGGAGGAUGCGAGCGUUAUCCGGAUUUAUUGGGUUUAAAGGGUGCGUAGGCGGUUUUUUAAGUUAGUGGUUAAACGUCGGGGCUUCACCUUGAUUUGCCAUUAAUACUGU
rnacentral:rRNA from 1 species